rnacentral:rRNA from 1 species
AGCGGCGGACGGGUGAGUAACGCGUGGGUAACCUGCCCUAUACACACGGAUAACAUACCGAAAGGUAUGCUAAUACGAGAUAAUAUAAGAGAUUCACAUGGAUUUCUUAUCAAAGCUGAGGCGGUAUAGGAUGGACCCGCGUCUGAUUAGCUAGUUGAUAAGGUGACGGCUUACCAAGGCGACGAUCAGUAGCCAACCUGAGAGGGUGAUCGGCCACAUUGGAACUGAGACACGGUCCAAACUCCUACGGGAGGCAGCAGUGGGGAAUAUUGCACAAUGGGCGAAAGCCUGAUGCAGCAACGCCGCGUGAGUGAUGAAGGCCUUCGGGUCGUAAAACUCUGUCCUCAAGGAAGAUAAUGACGGUACUUGAGGAGGAAGCCCCGGCUAACUACGUGCCAGCAGCCGCGGUAAUACGUAGGGGGCUAGCGUUAUCCGGAUUUACUGGGCGUAAAGGGUGCGUAGGUGGUCUCUUAAGUCAGGAGUGAAAGGCUACGGCUUAACCGUAGUAAGCUCUUGAAACUGGGAGACUUGAGUGCAGGAGAGGAAAGUGGAAUUCCUAGUGUAGCGGUGAAAUGCGUAGAUAUUAGGAGGAACACCAGUAGCGAAGGCGGCUUUCUGGACUGUAACUGACACUGAGGCACGAAAGCGUGGGGAGCAAACAGGAUUAGAUACCCUGGUAGUCCACGCCGUAAACGAUGAGUACUAGGUGU